CUGCAGCAGAUGGAGGUUCUCAGGCUAGAGGUCUAAUUGGAGCUGUGGCCGUCGGCUGACACCAGAGCCACAGCAACUCGGGAUCCAAGCUGCGUCUGCAACCUGCACCACAGCUCACAGCAAUGCCAGAUCCUCAACCCAUUGAGCAAGGCCAGGGAUCAAACCCGCAACCUCAUGGUUCCUAGUAGGAUUCGUUAACCACUGAGCCACGAUGGGAACUCCAAGGCUUAACAUUCUAAAAGAUGAAGAGAUAAAUGCGUACUAGGGGAGAAGAAGAGUCCUUAUCAUCUGAAAUGAUAGCUCCUGCAGAACUAGAUUAGAAAAAAAGUAAGGAUUAAGUUGAUCCAAAAUUCAUUUCACCAACUUAUAAGGAUGGAAGUACAACUGGUGGUUCAAUCUCACUUUUAUCAUGGGGAUGUAGGGAUGAUGCUCUAAGAGGUAACAAACCAGUUUUAAAAGCAAACUUGUUCUUUUAGAUUAUGCAAUGAUAUCUCUUGGUGUCUAAGUCACCCCAAGCUUUCCUGGAAAAUUAAGUUUCUCCUAGCUUGUAUUCAAAGCCCUUUUCUAAAACUUUGCCAAGUCGCAAUUUAUAGAGGAAGGAGAAAAUGAAUAGGCAUUUCAGAAGACAAAGUUUUGACAUCUGCUAGCUAUGAUACUAAACUUCUAUGGCCUACCACCUUUUUCUAUAAAUGGAAGGUGAUGAAUUAAAUUAGGAAUUUCAAACUAGUCAUCUACUGGUUGAACACCAUCUUUUCUUGUGUUUUACUGGUUACACCGAUGUUUUAUUAUUAUAAAAUUUAACCCAAAGUUCCUUAAUUUGAGUGUGCAAUUUCUAGUUUAGCACAACUCAAUCACUACUUAAUGCCUAGAAUCCAUUCUGUUUUACAGUGUAUGAUAUGUCAUUGGACCUUAUAACCUAAAUUCAUCUCUGAGCAAACCCCCUCCCCAGCUCCAACUACAUGCCUCCAGCCCCACUUGGAGAAAAUCAAAGAAACGUUUAAUGACAUGUAUGCAGAAGAGAGACCCAGGAAAACUGAGUUAACUCACCAAAAUGGCUGAAACCUUCACCUUAAGGAGUAUCUUCAGGUAAAGACAAAAGGGGAUGUUAGAGGUAGUUGUUUGGUUCUUCAAAAGGACCAAGGAAAUUUGCAUAGAGAUGGAGAGGCAAAUGUUUGGUAAAGAGAUGUUUGCUCGGUCCUACAGAGACCAUGGGACACAGACAUGAAUUUUAACAUGAAUUUUGCUCGUUUCCUCCCUGUUUGCACACCCCUUUCAUACUAUAGUUAUCCAGGGUGACAGCUCCUUUCUGGAACAUGACCUGGAUCUACAUCCUUUUAGGCAGUUAGGGGAAAGGUCAAAGCUUCUUCCUGAGUCUUUUGAGCCUUAAAAACAAUCAUCAUAUGAGUUCCCGUUGUGGCUCAGUGAGGUAAGAAUCCAGUUGGUAUCCAUGAGGACAUAACUUCAAUCCCUGGCCUUGCUCAGGGGGUUAAGGAUCUGGCAUUGCCUCGAGCUGCAGUGUAGGUCGCAGAUGCGUCUCAGAUCUGGCAUUGCUGUGGCGGUGGCAUAGGCUUCAGCUGCAGCUCUGAUUCAGCUGAUAGCCUGGGCAUUUCCAUAUGCAACAAGUGUGGCCCUAAGAAACAAACAAACAAACAAACAAACAAACAAAAAAGCAUAAGUUAAUGCUUAUGUCAAAGAGGUACGUUUUGGGGUGGCAAAUUUUGCUCCCUAGAGUCUUGGAACCAAACGUUAAUUCUGUCUCCAAUUUUCUUCCUGUGUAUACCUGUACUAACUGACUCACAUCCAUCAAUUCUCUGCUCAAAUGUCAUUUUCUCCUAAGGAACUAUUGGAUCAUAAGCCAAACUAACAGAAGCAGAAAGUAGGAUGGGGGUUGCCAAGGGCUGGGAGGUCAGGGAAAUUAGGAGAUGUUAGUCAAUGGGUAUAAAGUUCCAGUCAUAAGAUACCUAAGUUUCAGGGAUUGAAUAUAUAGGAUCAUAAUUAUAGUUCACAAUAUUGUAUUAUACACUUGAAAGUUGCUAAGAGAGCAGAUUUUAAAUUUAUCACUAUACCAAAAAAAAAAAAAUUAUAUGAGGUGAUGGGGUGUUACUUAACUUUUGUAGGGGAGGAAAAAUCUUCUAGGUACUUGGUUGAGACAAAAUAUAUAUGUCUAUCAAGAAAGAUUAACAAGAGAGAGUUCCCAUCAUGGCUCAGCAGUUAAUGAGCCCAACUAGUAUCCAUGAGUAUGUGGGUUCAAUCCCUGAUCUUGCUCAGUGGGUUAAGGAUCUGUCAUUGCCAUGAGCUGUGGUGUAGGU
rnacentral:lncRNA from 1 species